UGAGUUAAAAAGCUCGUAGUUGGAUCUCGGCGGACUGAGGGCGGUUUGCUUGCUAGUAUUACUGCCCUAUAGUCCGUAGUUUUGCCAGAGGUUUCGGGGUGCUCUUAAUCGAGUGUCCCGGGAUGCUGGCAGGGUUACUUUGAAAAAAUUAGAGUGCUCAAAGCAGGCUAUUACGCCUGAAUAUUCGUGCAUGGAAUAAUAGAAUAGGAAGUCGUUUCUAUUUUGUUGGUUUUCGGAAAUCGACUUAAUGAUUAAUAGGGACAGUCGGGGGCAUUUGUAUUCAAACGACAGAGGUGAAAUUCUUGGACCGUUUGAAGACAAACUACUGCGAAAGCAUUUGCCAAGAAUGUUUUCAUUAAUCAAGAACGAAAGUUAAAGGUUCGAAGGCGAUUAGAUACCGCCCUAGUUUUAACCAUAAACGAUGCCAGCUAGCGAUCUGCGGACGUUUUUUUUGUAGACUCCGCAGGAAGCUUCCGGGAAACCAAAGCAUUUGGGUUCCAGGGGAAGUAUGGUUGCAAAGCUGAGACUUAAAGGAAUUGACGGAAGGGCACCACCAGGAGUGGAGCCUGUGGCUUAAUUUGACUCAACACGGGAAAUCUCACCAGGCCCGGACACUGGAAGGAUUGACAGAUUGAUAG
rnacentral:rRNA from 1 species